ensembl:lncRNA
CGAGAAUGUGAGAGCUACUUUUGUUUCUAAGACCAUCCAAAUAUUUUCUCCAGAGAAGGUGGGAGUCACUUUGAGAGGAGCCCCCCCCCCACCAACACAACACUGUUGGCUUAACACCGCCUGGAAUAGCUCCACCAAUUUAAACCUGUGUUUUUUUUGGCGUUUUUUUUGUGUCAGUAAAUCCAACAUGGCACGAAGCUUAAGAGAAAAUCAACGGCGCCUUGACGGGAAGGAGAAAUGGUAACCUUCAGUCAGCAGAUCCGCGCUCAGGGACACGGAAAUACGCUGAGAGGAACAGCUGUGCGGGCCUCCAAACAAGGAGCAGGCUGCCUGGCAACUGCGCUCCCAUUGGCCAACCUUCCACCUCCUCCGACCAAUUGCAGCAGCUCCACCACGAGGAAGCGAAUGGGGGAGAAAAACAAAGCAGAGGGGGAAACAGAAGGAAGAAAAUGUGAGAAAGUUUGCAGUAAGAAACAUGUUGAGGAUGUAGACUUUGGCUCGUGCUCCCAACAGGGAGUGAUGUGAUUUGAAAAGGCCGACUAGGCGUACGGAAGCACUUUAACCUCUUUUCAGAAAGAUCUGCAAAACUUUUAAUGUUUCCCGUCUUUCGGGAAAUUCCUGGAUUCUGCCAAAAAUUUGCUUUACCCCUUUUUAACUAAACGGAUUAUGGGGGGAACAAUCCCUACUUCACAUUACACCCACAGCCAUUGCUGCAACAACCAUUUUUGUUUGGUAUCAAAGUCACCAAUGUGUUCCGGUGCUCACCGGGGGACCUGAGUCACAUCUCCCCGGGAUGAAAGGUGUUUGUUUUACAGUAGCUGUGACGCAUGCCGUUGCUGGUAGACUUGAGGUUCGGCAGACGAGGGGCAAGAGGGGUAAAUACAAACAAGAAGUGAGUCAAUGGGGGGGGGGCAGCACGUAGCUCGUGUUUAUGGUGCGAGUGGGUGGGCAUCCGUGUUCAGAUACGCCCUGUAAUUACAGUCGGAGAACGUUGUGAGACGCAGGGCGCUUCUCUCCCCCGGAGGCCUCGGCAACAAAAAACCUGCAGAGCGACGAAGGCCCCGUCAACCUGCCCCGGUACAUGUGCAGACAAACAGCACAAAUGAGUCCUUGUGGCAUUGUAUUCGGGUCCUGAAGAGGUUUGCUGCUUGACAACAACUUGGUCAAUCAAAACGGCCCAAAUAUUACCGCUUCCUUUUGGCAAAAUGUCAUCAAACUCAAGCUCUUCAGAACGUGGGCGUUUGGACAAAGGGCGUAAAUGGGAAAAUUGGGAAAGCUGUUGGUUUACAUGGAUCCUCUGAUCCUCUUUUUUAUUUCAUAGUAUUGAUGUAAACCUUUUAGUUUUGCAAUACCGUAAUGUGGUGCAUAUUUAGGGAAUUGUGAUUAGUCGGACCAUUGAAAGUUCUGGCAAUUUUAUUGACAUCAGCACUGUGAGCAGCAGAUAUGCCCGGACAUGAAAAAUGUUUUACUUUUGAACACAGGUAUGGUCUUUUUUACUAGAGCUUUAUAGCUUGCCCGGGGAAAGACUUUUUUCCCCAUUGAAGUAAAGACAAAUUAAUCCAACUUGUCGAUUUGCAGCCUAAUGAAAGCUCAGGCCUGCGGGGCUACAACUGAAAACCAUCCAAUUCCUCUCCUGCUUAUAAUAAAUAAAGCAAUGUGGGCCUCUGUGGGACUUAACUGUCUCUUAAUUCAGACCGACCCUCUCUUUAAAAAAGAAACAACCAUUCCCCUUUAAAAACAAAUACCUCUCUGCCAUUUACACCUAGUUCUUGACUCAUGAAGCCGGCAGUGCAACCCAAUGAGAGCUCUUUGAUAAGCGUUGACACAGUAAAGUCAAAUUGUAGCGAUUAGUGGCCGAGAUGCUAAAUAAACCGUACCGCUCGCCUGAACUUUUAAUUCUCACAAAUAGUUUGACGUUGUGUGACUGAGAUAUAAAUCACAGCCUCAGGGAACCAGCAGAGGGUGUGAAGGCGAUAGCUGCUAAAAUACAACCUAGGAGAUUCAGUUUGUCUACACUGACAGCCUUUUUGUUAAAAAUGUAUAUAAAACAUAAGCAGUUGGCAUAGUUUUUAGAGUUUUCUUUCUUUUUUGAGAACACGUAUGCGUGGUCAGGAAUCUCAGAGGCUUCCACAGGACAUCAGCCCCAAACUGACCUCAUUGUGUAAUAUGCCAAAGCCCCAGGGGAGUUUACCCAAACUGACCAAUGGCAUUUCAGAUCAAUAAUGACCCCGAGGUCUCUCCGAGGCCACGGGCGACCAAACAGCAUCAGUCUGGUCCCACUGUGAGGCCCAGACAACCCAAACAUAAUCCAUGGAGUCCCGUCCCGGAUUACCGUGUCUGCUCCACCCACACUCCACUUUAUGGAAAUUAGUCAGGAUUAUAUGAAGUCACACACACACACACACAUACACAAGAACACGGUCUCCCGGUGUAAAAGCGGUGCAACAAAAUCACCCGAGAUCUUUCUGUUUUCCUGAAAACAGCGAUUACUGCAGCUGUCAUUUCCCCCAGAUUAGUGGGAGUGGAGUAGAUUGGAGGGAUUCGUCUCCACACCACACAAACAAAGCGUUUUGGCUGAGUCCUUCUUAUCUGGCACGAGUGGGAACAACAUGGCGAGUCUCAAAAUGCAGAUUUGUUUUGUUUGGCCCAUGGGAACACGUUGCCAUGGUGACCGUGAUAGCGAUUUCUCGGUGGAUGUGUCACGCAGGCUUGUGAAUUCUGGCUGCAGCACAUUUCAGCAGGGGUUUGCACGUGUUUUUGAA